GGUCUUACAUCUGCAGGAUUUCUCGCCUAUAUCUUGGGUGCUGCUUCGGCAGCUAUGACGAUAAAUGGCGUUCGUAAUAAGCGGACUGGACCCGGGGGCGGUACCCGGCGGCUCCACCCAAGUUCUCACCAAGCAAAGGUGAGAGUUUCGGAGGGGCCGAAAUAGCAUCGACAGACGUGUAAAGGCUCUGCUUUCGUUCGGAUGGCCUCCGUUAUUGGGCCAUUAUUAUAGUUGCAAAUGACAACUACGAUGAAGGUUUUGCUCUCGCUGCGUAACGCAGUGCGAAAUUAACCGCCUUAAAGCCCUAGUGCCUUAUCAGCGCUAGGCGGGGCCGCCGGGGGCCUGGCAACAGAACCCCGGCAUU
rnacentral:tmRNA from 1 species